ensembl:lncRNA
CGCGGAGGGAUGUGCCUGGCCUUGCCUGUUGUCCCUGGGACCUUUGCAGCAGCUCGCAGGGGGCAGACCCCACGUCUUGUCUUAGCUGCCUGGGGCUCGCCUGCCCCCAGCCUUCCGGGACCCCCACCCUGACCCCUAUUCAUCUCCGUCAGGUCUCUACUCUCCUUUUUUUAGGUUCAAGAUAGUUCUGUCUUUGUUAUUAAGGGGGUUUUUUGCACUUAAACUGGCUUUGAACGUUUCACCAAAGACAGAAUAUAAUCCUUGCUUCAUGUCGGCCUCUCUGAGUCCCUGGCAUAUUUAGAACAUUAUUAAGCUCUGGGUAGAAGGGGCCGGGUCAGUGGGUGUGAUGCUGGGGUCUUCCUGAGUCUGUCACAUGCUCCUGCCGCAUUCCAGCAGGGCUUCCAGAAGCUUCUGACACAUGGGAGCUGGAAGCAUCUGUCCUGAAGCUGAGGAGAGGGGCGGGGCCACUGGUGCCCAGUCUCCCCCGGGGGCAGGACUGGAGGUUUGGGCGAGGCUGAUGGGACUGAGGGGUGACAGGCUGGGGAGGAGGUCAGAAGUGACCCUGGGAGGGAGGAAGACCCCAGGGUGUGUUUGGAGGGGAAGAUGAGGGAUGGGGCUGGUCGCCUGCACACGGCCCCCUCAUAGGGGGUGGGUUAGGAGAGUGGACAGUGACGGUGGCUGUGCCCACAGAAGGGGUGUCACCCGUGGGGUGCAGUGACAGCUCCAGCCACAUGCCCUUCCCAAGUGGGUGCCCUUGGCGAGUAAGCGAGGAGCAGGGCUCGCGAGCCCAUGGAGGCUUCUGGCCACAAGUCUUGGCUGUUGAAAGAAGAGUAAAACCCCACAGAAGCCGCCCGGGAGCUCCCGAGCUGGCAGUAAGUCCCUCUGUGAAAGUCCGACGCUGGCCGAGGGGCUGCCCUGGGUGAGGGCAGUGCUCACUGGCCUUUGCCUCUGCCAGGUUGUCCUCACAUUGGGGACCAGCUGGUUCUUCUGAGCUGGGGGGCGGGAGGUGGGGGGCAGGGGGAGACCAGGCUUCCUGCUUGGAGGAUGAGCUCAGGUGCUCAGCAGGUGUCUGGGGUGCUCAGGAUCCCUCCUUCAAAGUUCAGGGACACAUGAUGUGCCUGGGACAGCUCCUCACAUCACCCCCCUCUUCUAACAAAGGGCCCCCCGGCACCCCUUCCAGGCCCGGGCGGUGCAGCCCCAUGGUGGGGGCCUCUGCUUGGGGACAGUGGCUGGUCACCCCUGUUCUGUUCCUGCGGCUACUCAGGGCGUCUCCUGAAGGAGGAUUCCAUCAAACAACUGCCAAAUUCAGUUCACUCCAAAGAAGACCGGUCAAAUUACACAAUACAAGGCAUUUUAGCAACUGCUUUCAGAGCAGAAACCAGUGUGCAGCUGCUGAUGGCACAGGCAGGGAGAGCCGUUUUCCAUGGGGUUCUAUGCCUAGAAUGACAUUUUAUGCAAAAAAAGCAAAACCAAAAAACUUGGGCAGUAAAACAAGUGCAGGAAAGAGACAACACAGAUAAAUCCACUUAUAAAAGGUUUUUGUUUAUUUGUUUUUGCUUUUGUGGGCACACCUGUGGCCUACGAUAGUUCCCCGGCCAGGGAUCAAAUCCAAAGCACAUAUGCCACCUACACCACAGCUACAGCCACACCGGAUCCUUAACCCGCUGUGGGGGGUUCUGCGCAGCCUGCACAGUGAGACCAGUGACGCACGGCUCCAGAUUCUGCCAAAUCCAUCUCUUGAGCAGAAAUGUUUUUGCUCCAGUGACCUUGAAAGUGCCUUCAAGAUCAGGGCCACCCGUCCGGAAAACUUGCUUUGCUCUGCAUGGUCAGUGCAGCGGAGGCGCCAUGGCUGGGGUGACAUCCGUCUUGGGUUGGUCGCAGCCGGAGGUGGUCCUAACUGUGAACUUGGGAGGUGGCCGCUGAGAAAGGGGGGCCAGGGAGGAAGCUUAGGAAGCAAGACAGGCCAUCUUCAGCCUUUUCCUUGGGGGGCCUCCUCUGUCGUCUUCCUUGGCCUUUUCAACUCUGAUGUUUAAAGUGGGAGUGGGAUGUUCCCGUUGUGGCUCAGCAGGUUAAGAACUCAACUAGUGUCCGUGAGGACACAGGUUCAAUCCCUGGUCUCACUCAGUGGGUUAAGGAUCCGGUGUUGCCAAAAGCUCUGGCAUAAGCUGGCAGCUGCAGCUCUGAUUCGACCCCUAGCCUGGGAACUCCCUUAUGCCCCAGGUA